rnacentral:rRNA from 1 species
UACGGGGGGAGCAGGCGUUGUUCGGAUUUACUGGGCGUAAAGGGCGCGUAGGCGGCGUGACAAGUCACUUGUGAAAUCUCCGGGCUUAACUCGGAGCGGCCAAGUGAUACUGUCGUGCUAGAGUGCGGAAGGGGCUACUGGAAUUCUCGGUGUAGCGGUGAAAUGCGUAGAUAUCGAGAGGAACACCUGCGGCGAAGGCGGGUAGCUGGGCCGACACUGACGCUGAGGCGCGAAAGCUAGGGGAGCGAACGGG